rnacentral:rRNA from 1 species
UACGGGAGGCAGCAGUGGGGAAUAUUGCACAAUGGGCGAAAGCCUGAUGCAGCUAUGCCGCGUGUAUGAAGAAGGCCUUAGGGUUGUAAAGUACUUUCAUCGGGGAGGAAAAACAAAACUAAUAAUUUUAUUUCUUGACGUUACCCGAAAAAGAAGCACCGGCUAACUCCGUGCCAGCAGCCGCGGUAAUACGGAGGGUGCUAGCGUUAAUCAGAAUUACUGGGCGUAAAGAGCACGUAGGUGGUUUUUUAAGUCAGAUGUGAAAUCCCUGGGCUUAACCUAGGAACUGCAUUUUGAAACUGAAAUACUAGAGUAUCGUAGAGGGAGGUAGAAUUCUAGGUGUAGCGGUGAAAUGCGUAGAUAUCUGGAGGAAUACCUGUGGCGAAAGCGGCCUCCUAAACGAAUACUGACACUGAGGUGCGAAAGCGUGGGGAGCGAAACAGGAUUAGAUACC